GUAUGGCCCGGUAUUGCCUGGGCAAUACCUUGGGUCAGCCCACUAAGAGAUUAGGGUUCUCUGUGUGCAGCACAGCCGCUGCCCGCUGAGCCGCACCCGCACGGCUGCACAGGCACAGCCGCAGGCUCCUCCCGCAUCUGCAUGGGCGCUGACCGCUUGGCAGACGGCCUGCUCGGCUGCUCCUCAUCUCCGACGCUCUGCUCGGCUGCUCGUGCUCGGCAGACGGUAGUCCCGCUCCGGCGCUCCGCUGCUCGCCCGGCCAGCCGGCCUGCUCGGCUGCUCUUGCAGACUGCAGUCCUUCUACCUCUGCCUGCUUGUCCGGUGUCCCGCCCGGCGGGCGGCAGCCGACUGCAGGGUGCAGGCUGUGGCUGUUUAUCCCGGCCCGCCGAGGCGCCGACCCGGCCGGCUGCCGCAGUGUCGCUGCUUCCAGCUUGCUUCCUGCUUGCUUUAGUUCAUUACUUCAUUAGUUAUUACGUCAUUAGUUGCUUGACUACAGAGUGCUUGAGUUUGAGUGCUUGACUGCUUGUCCCAUCUGAUGGCCUAAAGGUAGCGCAUGAGUAUUUAUUUGAUUAUGCGCGUGAGUAUUUGAUUAUGCGUGUCUAAUCAAUUAGAUUUUUUGAUGUGCAGAUUUUUCAAUUUCUAAAUAGCAGUCUUAGAUAUAAACAAAAACAAGACAAAGAAUAUGGCCCAAAAAAGUAUCUCUCUAUAUUAUGUGAACACUCCUGUUGGCUGUUGUAAUGUCUUCUAAUUAUCUAAUACAUGCUAUAUGCUUCGUAAAAUGACAGAUUUAAAGACCUAUUUCAGUCAAGUUUCUAGUGGAAGUAGACCAAGCACUCGCGCUAGUGGAGUUUACAAUAAACCCAGAAUACAAGUUGGAGUUCAAGAGAAUAACAAUGAAGAUGCCAAUGGUGAAACUGUUAAUGGUUAAGUCGAAAAUUUUAUUCGCUAUAUGGCAUUUGGUUGUAAAUGGAUUGUAAUCAAGAUGACUAUUAAAUAAGGUUUCUCGGAUGUGGUAAAACAGAUAUGGUCUACCGAAAUGGAUGGCAAUACCCCUAUGGAUAGAUGGCAAGCAAAGAUUCGAAAAUUACGCCAAUAUCUUACGAGGUGUUUUUUCGGGCUACGCAUUGGCUUCGCUUCUAGGCUCAAUUACAACUUAGACAGGAUGAUCAAGAACUAAUAAUCAAGGCAUGUUGUAGAUUGGAGGAGUUGGUGAUGCAGAUUUUUAGACAUCAUGGAUGGGGAUCUCCAUUUAGACUUUGUCUUUAAUCUCGUUUUGUCGCACUAUGUUUUGCUUUUCUCCGAGUUUUCAGAUAGUGAUGUUCCUAUCUGAGUCUGUAAUAACUCGUCUAUGGUAUCUUUGAGACAAAGGCCAGGAACUUUC